CACCGCCUCUUCCGGCCUGGGGCUGCCAAGCCGUGCUUUCCGCGGCCAGCCUCGCUCAGGGUCCGUGGGCGGCACGAAGACGGGACUGCUGGAGGCUGUCUGUUGACUGGACUCCCAGUGCUGAAGCGGAGGCCAUGAAUACUCCCAGCAUUCAGCUCUUAACUGAAGCAUGUGUGCUGUCUUGGUAGCAGAAGUGCCUUCAGCCCCAUCCACUGGAUUCAAAAGAAGCUUCAGCCAUGGCAACUAAGCCCUUAUACAUCCUCCAGACUUUAAUAGGAAUGAUGAGGGGGCCUUCGUUCUUGCUGUGAACCUGACAUUCCCAGGCAUCCUCCAGUCCACCUGUGGCACUCAGGAGGGAGCACACACAUUUGGUGAACCCAGCCUGGUGUUACUUAAAGUCUACUAUCACCAAGACCCCGCUGCUCUUUCUCCUCUUCCAUGUAAUUCUUACAAGUCUGGGCUUCUGAGGUAGGCUAUGGAGUGACUGCUGCCCUUGGAUUUCUACUAUUGUUGGUUUUUGUAUGUU